UACGGAGGAUGCGAGCGUUAUCCGGAUUUAUUGGGUUUAAAGGGUGCGCAGGCGGCUGUUCAAGUCAGCGGUAAAAUUGCGGGGCUCAACUCCGUAGAGCCGUUGAGACUGUUCUGGCUGGAGUGCGUGCGACGAGGGCGGAAUGCGCGGUGUAGCGGUGAAAUGCAUAGAUAUCACGCAGAACUCCGAUUGCGAAGGCAGCCCUCGAGCCCGCCACUGACGCUCAUGCACGAAAGCGUGGGUAU
rnacentral:rRNA from 1 species